rnacentral:rRNA from 1 species
GACGAACCGUACGAACGUUAUUCGGAAUUACUGGGCUUAAAGGGUGCGUAGGCUGCGCAGCAAGUUGGGUGUGAAAUCCCUCGGCUUAACCGAGGGACUGCGCCCAAAACUGCUGUGCUCGAGGGAGACAGAGGUGAGCGGAACUUAGGGUGGAGCGGUGAAAUGCGUUGAUAUCCUAAGGAACACCGGUGGCGAAAGCGGCUCACUGGGCCACAACUGACGCUGAGGCGCGAAAGCUAGGGGAGCAAACAGG